GAUGAAGAACGUAGCGAAAUGCGAUAAGUAAUGUGAAUUGCAGAUUUCAGUGAAUCAUCGAAUCUUUGAACGCACCUUGCGCCUUGUGGUAUUCCACAAGGCAUGCCCGUUUGAGUAUCAUUAAAUCAUCAACUCUAAAACCUUUGUGGUUUUUUUAGAGCUUGGUCUUGAGGGUUUUGCAGGCUUUUUUUUUUCGAGUCUGCUCCCUUUAAAUGCAUUAGCGAGACUUCCCUAUGCUGAACCUUCUCUUUGACGUGAUAAUUAUCUGCGUCGAAUUUUGGUUCUCGUUGGGCUUGCUUCUAAUCGUCUGUUAAAGACAAAACGGAUUUGGGUGCAUAUAUGCGCCUUUUUCCAAAACCUUUUUUGAUCUCAAAUCGGGUAGGACUACCCGCUGAACUUAAGCAUAUCAAUAAGCGGAAGA
rnacentral:misc_RNA from 1 species